UACAAGGAGAUAUGAACGUUUUAAGGUCGAAAGGUCAGUGGGCUAGGCCCAACUCGGGACCAACCGAGUUGGCCCAAAAAAAUGAAAAAAAAAUUCAGGCCCAAGUGAGGAGCCAUUCGGCCAUGGUCCAUAAAAAGGAUCCAAGCCCAUGGAAUUAAGUCAUGUGGUCAAUGAAUAAAAGACCACUUAAUCAUCCAAAUUCCAUAGAACUUUCAAGAGAAAGAAUAGGAGGAAAAACAAGAGAAAAACAAGAACAAAAAGAGGGCAUUUCGGGUUUGGCCAUAGAAAAAUCACCCCUCAAAAUCUUGCCUCUAAAAUUAUUUUCUUGUUGAAUUCCUACUAAAUUAAGUGUCCUCUACAACUUGGUGUAAUUGUUUUGGAAGAAGGAGCACUUAUUUCUUCAAGUUGACAACUUGUUCAAGUGAAGAAGUUUGUAGAAAAAGUUUUUCGACGAAACGGGAAGUGAGUUUGGAAAGGCUUAAGGAGCGCGAAAGGUACGGACGACAGGUUUGCUGAUGCGCACGUUUAGGAUCCCACUUCUGCUAUUUUGGGGCGCUCUCUUCUACAGAGCCCAUCUUUUGGUACAGUCUGUCACUGCUAUCUGGAUAUGUACUUUGUUCAGGGUAUGACGGGGCCCUGUCCCGUCUUAUGAUUAUGAUAUGUUCUGUAGAGG